rnacentral:misc_RNA from 1 species
UUAAGUUCAGCGGGUAGUCUCACCCGAUUUGAGGUCAAGGUUCGAUGGGUCGAAAGCUUCCCACCCCGUGAAGGGCGAUCGGCUCGAACAUUGUCCCCGAUGGGACGGUUAGAAGCAGGUCCUUCCCGAGCGAAACCCAAGACGUAGAAACAUCUUAUCAACGUCGAGGAUCUAGCAAAGCGGAUCCCACUGAUAGAUUU